rnacentral:rRNA from 1 species
GAUGAACGCUAGCGGCAGGCUUAACACAUGCAAGUCGAGGGGCAGCAUAAUGGAUAGCAAUAUCUAUGGUGGCGACCGGCGCACGGGUGCGUAACGCGUAUGCAACCUACCUUUAACAGGGGGAUAACACUGAGAAAUUGGUACUAAUACCCCAUAAUAUCAUAGAAGGCAUCUUUUAUGGUUGAAAAUUCCGAUGGUUAGAGAUGGGCAUGCGUUGUAUUAGCUAGUUGGUGGGGUAACGGCUCACCAAGGCGACGAUACAUAGGGGGACUGAGAGGUUAACCCCCCACACUGGUACUGAGACACGGACCAGACUCCUACGGGAGGCAGCAGUGAGGAAUAUUGGUCAAUGGACGCAAGUCUGAACCAGCCAUGCCGCGUGCAGGAUGACGGCUCUAUGAGUUGUAAACUGCUUUUGUACGAGGGUAGACGCAGAUACGUGUAUCUGUCUGAAAGUAUCGUACGAAUAAGGAUCGGCUAACUCCGUG